rnacentral:rRNA from 1 species
GACGAACGCUGGCGGCGUGCUUAACACAUGCAAGUCGAACGGAAAGGCCCUGCUUUUGUGGGGUGCUCGAGUGGCGAACGGGUGAGUAACACGUGAGUAACCUGCCCUUGACUUUGGGAUAACUUCAGGAAACUGGGGCUAAUACCGGAUAGGAGCUCCUGCUGCAUGGUGGGGGUUGGAAAGUUUCGGCGGUUGGGGAUGGACUCGCGGCUUAUCAGCUUGUUGGUGGGGUAGUGGCUUACCAAGGCUUUGACGGGUAGCCGGCCUGAGAGGGUGACCGGCCACAUUGGGACUGAGAUACGGCCCAGACUCCUACGGGAGGCAGCAGGGGGGAAUAUUGCACAAUGGGCGGAAGCCUGAUGCAGCAACGCCGCGUGCGGGAUGACGGCCUUCGGGUUGUAAACCGCUUUCGCCUGUGACGAAGCGUGAGUGACGGUAAUGGGAAAAGAAGCACCGGCUAACUACGU